UACAGAGGUCCCAAGCGUUGUUCGGAUUCACUGGGCGUAAAGGGUGCGUAGGUGGCUUGGUAAGUUUGAUGUGAAAUCUCCGGGCUUAACCCGGAAAUGGCAUUGAAUACUAUUGAGCUGGAGGUUUGGAGGGGGGGGACUGGAAUUCUCGGUGUAGCAGUGAAAUGCGUAGAUAUCGAGAGGAACACCAGUGGCGAAGGCGAGUCCCUGGACAACACCUGACACUGAGGCACGAAAGCUAGGGGAGCAAACAGG
rnacentral:rRNA from 1 species